GACGAACGCUGGCGGCGUGCUUAACACAUGCAAGUCGAACGAAGUGGCGAACGGGUGAGUAACGCGUAAUCAACCUGCCCUUCAGAGGGGGACAACAGUUGGAAACGACUGCUAAUACCGCAUACUGAAGGAGGGGAUUGCGUUUGAUUAGCUAGUGGGGGGGGUAACGGCCCACCAAGGCGAUGAUCAGUAGCCGGUAUGAGAGGAUGUACGGCCCCAUGGGGACUGAGACACGGCCCAGACUUCUACGGGAGGCAGCAGUGGGGUAUCUUCCGCAAUUGACGAAAGUCUGACGGGGCAACGCCGCGUGAGUGAUGACGGCCUUCGGGUUGGAAAGCUCUGUUAAUCGGGACGCGGUACCGGAAGAGAAAGCCACGGCUAACUACGUGCCAGCAGCCGCGGUAGUAC
rnacentral:rRNA from 1 species